UACAGAGGUCUCAAGCGUUGUUCGGAUUCAUUGGGCGUAAAGGGUGCGUAGGUGGCGUGGUAAGUCGGAUGUGAAAUCCCGGGGCUCAACCCCGGAACUGCAUUCGAUACUGCCUUGCUAGAGUACUGGAGAGGAGAUUGGAAUUUACGGUGUAGCAGUGAAAUGCGUAGAUAUCGUAAGGAAGACCGGUGGCGAAGGCGGAUCUCUGGACAGUUACUGACACUGAGGCACGAAGGCCAGGGGAGCAAACGGG
rnacentral:rRNA from 1 species